CUCGAAUUGAUCUCAUGCUACAAAGAUACUUUUAUGUAAAACAAACUUACGCUUCAUCAGAUCAAAGUACACUCCUUUUCAAUCAUGUAAUAUAUCCAAAAAAUAAUAAUAAUCCAUGUUUUAGCUAUUUUUAUAAUGAAAAGUAUCUUGCACAUUUACUGGUAGAUAUUUGGUGAAAUAUGAAUACACUUAAAGUUUUAUCUUAAAGUUUGUUUAAACAAAAAUAUGAUUUCUUUUUGGUGUUAUAUCAGCAAGUUUCAUAAGGGAUGUACUUGCAAUUUGCUGUAAAAAGCGGGAGUUGAAAUUUACAUAUUCUCUUGCAAGGCCUUUCCUAUGUGCUGUGAUUGAUAUUUCUCUUGGGUGCAGGCGCUCUAAUGUCAUAGAAGGCAUUAUAUCUGAGUUCCAAAGAGGACUAGAACAUUCACAUUUGUGUAAUGAUAGCGAUAGUGAAGGAGCAAAACUCUUAAAGAUUCUAGAAACAGCCACUGAACCUGAAAUUUUAAUGGCAGAAAUGAGUUCAGAACAGUUGAAAUCUUUUACCAAAUAUCGAUCAAAACUGGAGGUAGGUUUCAAAUGUUUUGUUUGAGUGAAAGUCUGGUAUAGAACGAGAUUUUGAUCAUGGCAGGUUGGAACUUA
rnacentral:lncRNA from 1 species